AUGUUCAACUGCAUCUGUCAGAAAACAAGACGUUCUGCUACUUGUUACUUCCUGUGCUGGGAGAGCCUCUUUAGUUUUAGUUCCAUGAACCUACUAAAGACAAUGAAGCAUUUCCAAACAAUGUGCUACAGACAGAGAGUCCAUAUCGACGACAGGGUUUAUGACCUUGAUGUUGGAUCAGGACAUCCUAAUGAUGUAGCCGCUAUCAAGGGUUCGUUUGUUCAACAAUUAAAGACCUACGAGAUCCGAGUCCAGACCAGAGUAAUCCAGGCCAUUGCUUAGCAUAAACAAAAAGAGGAAGAGAAACAAGAAUAGAAACAUGAAAUAGAAGCAGCAGCAAAAGAAAAUGAAGAGGAAGAAGAAGAUGGGAAGAAGAAAAUACAAACUGGAAGAAAG
rnacentral:lncRNA from 10 species